rnacentral:lncRNA from 1 species
AGGCCCUGCCUUGUAGACCAGGACUAUGUGUAACAGGAUUUCCUUGAAUUUGCAGUAAUUCUCCUUUCUCUCUCAUUUGCCAGGAUUCCAGGUGUGUACUGACAUGUCCAGUGGUCUACCUCUUUUAAAAGAGCCAUCUGUGGGAUUAGAAGCAUUAGGGAAGAUAUUGUUGGUAUAUGAGCAGGACCAUACCACUUGGAUGAUGCUGAAAGAAGCAAAGUUCCUGAGAGCCACACAGAGUAAAAGCUGUCUUGCCACACCCAAAUGUACAUACCGCCAGACUGCAUUUAUUUUAGAGAAAACUUAAUUUGAUAUGUAGUUACUUUCCUUAGCCCAUUCAUUAUAUUUAAUGGGUAUAAAAUAUAAACACUUGAAAUUUUUAUGAAUAUUUUGACACUGAGUAAUUUUUAAAGCUUAAGAUAUUUAAUUGAGAUAUAUAUUAUUAAUAUCAAUUAAAUAUAUAUUGUGUUUAGGGGACUGGGGAGAGGACUCAGCAGUUAAGAACACUGGCUUCUUUUCUUGAGAACCUGGAUUUAAUCUCAACACUCAUAUGGUGGCUCACAACCAUCUAUAGCUUCAGCCAUAGAGGAUUCAACACCCUCUUCUGGCCUCCUUGGGUCCCAGGUAAGCCCUUAUAUACAUAAAAUAAUAAAAUAUUUUUUUAAAUGUGUCUGUUUGAUGUA